AGGGUGUAAACGCUGCAGACUUGGUGUUGGGAACCCUUCGGGGGUGCUCAGUGCCGGAGAGAAGUUGUUAAGUCUGCUACUUGGGGAGUACGUCCGCAAGGAUGAAACUUAAAGGAAUUGGCGGGGGAGCACCGCAACGGGAGGAGCGUGCGGUUUAAUUGGAUUCAACACCGUAAAACUCACCAGGGAAGACUGUUACAUGAAAGCCGAGAUGAAGACUCUGCUAGAUUUUCAGAGAGGAGGUGCAUGGCGUCAGUGACU
rnacentral:rRNA from 1 species